GGUUAAGCGACUAAGCGUACACGGUGGAUGCCCUGGCAGUCAGAGGCGAUGAAGGACGUGCUAAUCUGCGAUAAGCGUCGGUAAGGUGAUAUGAACCGUUAUAACCGGCGAUUUCCGAAUGGGGAAACCCAGUGUGAUUCGUCACACUAUCAUUAACUGAAUCCAUAGGUUAAUGAGGCGAACCGGGGAACUGAAACAUCUAAGUACCCCGAGGAAAAGAAAUCAACCGAGAUUCCCCCAGUAGCGGCGAGCGAACGGGGAGGAGCCCAGAGCCUGAAUCAGUGUGUGUGUUAGUGGAAGCGUCUGGAAAGGCGCGCGAUACAGGGUGACAGCCCCGUACACAAAAAUGCACAUGCUGUGAGCUCGAUGAGUAGGGCGGGACACGUGGUAUCCUGUCUGAAUAUGGGGGACCAUCCUCCAAGGCUAAAUACUCCUGACUGACCGAUAGUGAACCAGUACCGUGAGGGAAAGGCGAAAAGAACCCCGGCGAGGGGAGUGAAAAAGAACCUGAAACCGUGUACGUACAAGCAGUGGGAGCCUCUUUAUGGGGUGACUGCGUACCUUUUGUAUAAUGGGUCAGCGACUUAUAUUCUGUAGCAAGGUUAACCGAAUAGGGGAGCCGAAGGGAAACCGAGUCUUAACUGGGCGUUAAGUUGCAGGGUAUAGACCCGAAACCCGGUGAUUCUAGCCAUGGGCAGGUUGAAGGUUGGGUAACACUAACUGGAGGACCGAACCGACUAAUGUUGAAAAAUUAGCGGAUGACUUGUGGCUGGGGGUGAAAGGCCAAUCAAACCGGGAGAUAGCUGGUUCUCCCCGAAAGCUAUUUAGGUAGCGCCUCGUGAAUUCAUCUCCGGGGGUAGAGCACUGUUUCGGCAAGGGGGUCAUCCCGACUUACCAACCCGAUGCAAACUGCGAAUACCGGAGAAUGUUAUCACGGGAGACACACGGCGGGUGCUAACGUCCGUCGUGAAGAGGGAAACAACCCAGACCGCCAGCUAAGGUCCCAAAGUCAUGGUUAAGUGGGAAACGAUGUGGGAAGGCCCAGACAGCCAGGAUGUUGGCUUAGAAGCAGCCAUCAUUUAAAGAAAGCGUAAUAGCUCACUGGUCGAGUCGGCCUGCGCGGAAGAUGUAACGGGGCUAAACCAUGCACCGAAGCUGCGGCAGCGACACUAUGUGUUGUUGGGUAGGGGAGCGUUCUGUAAGCCUGUGAAGGUGUACUGUGAGGUAUGCUGGAGGUAUCAGAAGUGCGAAUGCUGACAUAAGUAACGAUAAAGCGGGUGAAAAGCCCGCUCGCCGGAAGACCAAGGGUUCCUGUCCAACGUUAAUCGGGGCAGGGUGAGUCGACCCCUAAGGCGAGGCCGAAAGGCGUAGUCGAUGGGAAACAGGUUAAUAUUCCUGUACUUGGUGUUACUGCGAAGGGGGGACGGAGAAGGCUAUGUUGGUACGGGCGACGGUUGUCCCGGUUUAAGCGUGUAGGCUGAUUUUCCAGGCAAAUCCGGAAAAUCAAGGCUGAGGCGUGAUGACGAGGCACUACGGUGCUGAAGCAACAAAUGCCCUGCUUCCAGGAAAAGCCUCUAAGCAUCAGGUAACAUCAAAUCGUACCCCAAACCGACACAGGUGGUCAGGUAGAGAAUACCAAGGCGCUUGAGAGAACUCGGGUGAAGGAACUAGGCAAAAUGGUGCCGUAACUUCGGGAGAAGGCACGCUGAUACGUAGGUGAAGUCCCUCGCGGAUGGAGCUGAAAUCAGUCGAAGAUACCAGCUGGCUGCAACUGUUUAUUAAAAACACAGCACUGUGCAAACACGAAAGUGGACGUAUACGGUGUGACGCCUGCCCGGUCGCCGGAAGGUUAAUUGAUGGGGUUAGCGGUAACGCGAAGCUCUUGAUCGAAGCCCCGGUAAACGGCGGUAGCCGUAACUAUAACGGUCCUAAGGUAGCGAAAUUCCUUGUCGGGUAAGUUCCGACCUGCACGAAUGGCGUAAUGAUGGCCGAGGCUGUCUCCACCCGAGACUCAGUGAAAUUGAACUCGCUGUGAAGAUGCAGUGUACCCGCGGCAAGACGGAAAGACCCCGUGAACCUUUACUAUAGCUUGACACUGAACAUUGAGCCUUGAUGUGUAGGAUAGGUGGGAGGCUUUGAAGUGUGGACGCCAGUCUGCAUGGAGCCGACCUUGAAAUACCACCCUUUAAUGUUUGAUGUUCUAACGUUGGCCCCUGAUCGGGGUUGCGGACAGUGUCUGGUGGGUAGUUUGACUGGGGCGGUCUCCUCCUAAAGAGUAACGGAGGAGCACGAAGGUUGGCUAAUCCUGGUCGGACAUCAGGAGGUUAGUGCAAUGGCAUAAGCCAGCUUGACUGCGAGCGUGACGGCGCGAGCAGGUGCGAAAGCAGGUCAUAGUGAUCCGGUGGUUCUGAAUGGAAGGGCCAUCGCUCAACGGAUAAAAGGUACUCCGGGGAUAACAGGCUGAUACCGCCCAAGAGUUCAUAUCGACGGCGGUGUUUGGCGACCUCGAUGUCGGCUCAUCACAUCCUGGGGCUGAAGUAGGUCCCAAGGGUAUGGCUGUUCGCCAUUUAAAGUGGUACGCGAGCUGGGUUUAGAACGUCGUGAGACAGUUCGGUCCCUAUCUGCCGUGGGCGCUGGAGAACUGAGGGGGGCUGCUCCUAGUACGAGAGGACCGGAGUGGACGCAUCACUGGUGUUCGGGUUGUCAUGCCAAUGGCACUGCCCGGUAGCUAAAUGCGGAAGAGAUAAGUGCUGAAAGCAUCUAAGCACGAAACUUGCCCCGAGAUGAGUUCUCCCUGACUCCUUGAGAGUCCUGAAGGAACGUUGAAGACGACGACGUUGAUAGGCCGGGUGUGUAAGCGCAGCGAUGCGUUGAGCUAACCGGUACUAAUGAACCGUGAGGCUUAACCUU
rnacentral:rRNA from 1 species